rnacentral:rRNA from 1 species
UACGAAGGGGGCUAGCGUUGCUCGGAAUCACUGGGCGUAAAGGGUGCGUAGGCGGGUCUUUAAGUCAGGGGUGAAAUCCUGGAGCUCAACUCCAGAACUGCCUUUGAUACUGAGGAUCUUGAGUUCGGGAGAGGUGAGUGGAACUGGCGAGUGUAGAGGUGAAAUUCGUAGAUAUUCGCAAGAACACCAGUGGCGAAGGCGGACUCACUGGCCCGAGUACUGACGCUGAGGCACGAAAGCGUGGG